ACGCACGCUUUUCGAGAAUGGAAUGGAGCACAAGUUAAGGCUUAAAACGAACGAGGUUGAGCGGUGACGAGUGCGGCGGGUGUUGAGCAUAAAAGUGAAGAAUGUUUAUCAAAUGUCCAGAAUAUGUUGUGUCUUCAUACAUAGCAGUAUUCUACUCUCGAAAUGCUUCCGCUGAGUUAUUGUCUUUCUUUUGAGUUCUUGUAUUGUUGAGAUAGUAUUCUUUUAAGUUGUUGAUUGUUGAGAUACUCUGAUUUUAAUCGAGCUAUAACUAUUAUUUCAAGCUUUGGUCGA